rnacentral:rRNA from 1 species
UUUACGAGUCCUGGCUCAGGACUGGACGACUGGACGGCGUGCUUAACACAUAGCAAGUCGAACGAGAACCGAAUGGAUUGAGGAUUCGUCAAUGAAAUUGGGGAAAGUGGCGACGGGUGAGUAACGCGUGAGCAAUCUGCCUUGGAGUGGGAUAACGUUGGAAACAGCCGCUAAUACCGCAUGAUGCAAUUGGGAGGCAUCUCUCUGAUUGCCAAAGAUUUAUCGCUCUGAGAUGAGCUCGCGUCUGAUUAGCUAGUUGGCGGGGUAACGGGCCCACCAAGGCGACGAUCAGUAGCCGGACUGAGAGGUUGGCCGGCCACAUUGGGACUGAGACACGGCCCAGACUCCUACGGGAGGCAGCAGUGGGGAAUAUUGGGCAAUGGGCGCAAGCCUGACCCCAGCAACGCCGCGUGAAGGAAGAAGGCUUUCGGGUUGUAAACUUCUUUUCUGAGGGACGAACAAAUGACGGUACCUCAGGAAUAAGCCACGGCUAACUACGUG